UACGAAGGGGGCUAGCGUUGCUCGGAAUUACUGGGCGUAAAGGGCGCGUAGGCGGGUCGUUAAGUUGGGGGUGAAAGCCCAGGGCUCAACCCUGGAAUUGCCUUCAAUACUGGCGACCUUGAGUAUGGCAGAGGUGUGUGGAACUCCGAGUGUAGAGGUGAAAUUCGUAGAUAUUCGGAGGAACACCAGUGGCGAAGGCGACACACUGGGCCAUUACUGACGCUGAGGCGCGAAAGCGUGGGGAGCAAACAGG
rnacentral:rRNA from 1 species